rnacentral:rRNA from 1 species
AGUGAACGCUGGCGGUAGGCCUAACACAUGCAAGUCGAACGGCAGCACAGUAAGAGCUUGCUCUUACGGGUGGCGAGUGGCGGACGGGUGAGGAAUACAUCGGAAUCUACUUUUUCGUGGGGGAUAACGUAGGGAAACUUACGCUAAUACCGCAUACGACCUACGGGUGAAAGCAGGGGAUCUUCUGACCUUGCGCGAUUGAAUGAGCCGAUGUCGGAUUAGCUAGUUGGCGGGGUAAAGGCCCACCAAGGCGACGAUCCGUAGCUGGUCUGAGAGGAUGAUCAGCCACACUGGAACUGAGACACGGUCCAGACUCCUACGGGAGGCAGCAGUGGGGAAUAUUGGACAAUGGGCGCAAGCCUGAUCCAGCAAUACCGCGUGGGUGAAGAAGGCCUUCGGGUUGUAAAGCCCUUUUGUUGGGAAAGAAAAGAAGCAGGUUAAUACCACGAUGUUAUGACGGUACCAAAAGAAUAAGCACCGGCUAACUUCGUG